GAUGAACGCUAGCGACAGGCUUAACACAUGCAAGUCGAGGGGCAGCACGGGAGUAGCAAUACAACUGGUGGCGACCGGCGCACGGGUGAGUAACGCGUAUGCAACCUACCUAUCAGAGGGGAAUAACCCGGCGAAAGUCGGACUAGUACCGCAUAAAACAGGGGCACCGCAUGGUGAUAUUUGUUAAAGAAAUUCGCUGAUAGAUGGGCAUGCGUUCCAUUAGGUAGUUGGUGAGGUAACGGCUCACCAAGCCGACGAUGGAUAGGGGAACUGAGAGGUUGGUCCCCCACACGGGUACUGGGACACGGACCAGAAUCCUACGGGAGGCAGCAGUGAGGAAUAUUGGUCAAUGGGCGGGAGCCUGAACCAGCCAAGUCGCGUGAAGGAAGAAGGAUCUAUGGUUCGUAAACUUCUUUUGCAGGGGAAUAAAGUGCAGGACGUGUCCUGUUUUGUAUGUACCCUGAGAAUAAGGAUCGGCUAACUCCGUGCCAGCCGCCGCCGUAAGAC
rnacentral:rRNA from 1 species